UGGGGAAUAUUGGACAAUGGGCGCAAGCCUGAUCCAGCCAUGCCGCGUGAGUGAUGAAGGCCCUAGGGUUGUAAAGCUCUUUCACCGGUGAAGAUAAUGACGGUAACCGGAGAAGAAGCCCCGGCUAACUUCGUGCCAGCAGCCGCGGUAAUACGAAGGGGGCUAGCGUUGUUCGGAUUUACUGGGCGUAAAGCGCACGUAGGCGGACUUUUAAGUCAGGGGUGAAAUCCCGGGGCUCAACCCCGGAACUGCCUUUGAUACUGGAAGUCUUGAGUAUGGUAGAGGUGAGUGGAAUGCCGCGUGUAGAGGUGAAAUUCGUAGAUAUUCGGAGGAACACCAGUGGCGAAGGCGGCUCACUGGACCAUUACUGACGCUGAGGUGCGAAAGCGUGGGGAGCAAACAGG
rnacentral:rRNA from 1 species